UACGGAGGUGGCAAGCGUUGCUCGGAAUCACUGGGCGUAAAGGGCGCGUAGGCGGGGAGGUAAGUCGGGUGUGAAAUCCCUCGGCCCAACCGAGGAACUGCGCCCGAGACUGCUUCUCUUGAGUCCCGGAGAGGAAGGUGGAAUUCCCGGUGUAGCGGUGAAAUGUGUAGAGAUCGGGAGGAACACCGGUGGCGAAGGCGGCCUUCUGGACGGUGACUGACGCUGAGGAGCGAAAGCGUGGGGAGCGAACAGG
rnacentral:rRNA from 1 species